rnacentral:rRNA from 1 species
GACGAACGCUGGCGGCGUGCCUAAUACAUGCAAGUAGAACGCUGAAGGAGGAGCUUGCUCUUCUGGAUGAGUUGCGAACGGGUGAGUAACGCGUAGGUAACCUGCCUGGUAGCGGGGGAUAACUAUUGGAAACGAUAGCUAAUACCGCGUAACAGUAGAUGUUGCGUGACAUUUGCUUAAAAGGUGCAAUUGCACCACUACCAGAUGGACCUGCGUUGUAAUAGCUAGUUGGUGGGGUAACGGCUCACCAAGGCGACGAUACAUAGCCGACCUGAGAGGGUGAUCGGCCACACUGGGACUGAGACACGGCCCAGACUCCUACGGGAGGCAGCAGUAGGGAAUCUUCGGCAAUGGACGGAAGUCUGACCGAGCAACGCCGCGUGAGUGAAGAAGGGUGUCGGAUCGUAAAGCUCUGUUGUAAGAGAAGAACGAGUGUGAGAGUGGAAAGUUCACACUGUGACGGUAUCUUACCAGAAAGGGACGGCUAACUACGUG